UGGGGCUCCACUGGGCUGCAGUUGCCAGUUAACAGUUGCUGAGGGACAGUUGCCAGGCCACCACUGUUGUAUCCCAGCAGAGGGCUCCUGAGACCUCUUGGGAAGGUAAGAGGAAGUUGCAGGCCACCAGCAGGGUCCUGGCCAGGGCUGAGGCUAGGCCCUGCCCUCCUGUGGCCCCCUGGGGACCCAGGAGUCAAGGAAGGGAGCAGGGACUGGAGAGAGACCAGGUGGCUUGGCUGGGCUAAGUCUUCUCCCCCCAGGCUGCCCUCAGCCCAGACACCCUAGCAUCUGUCUGUCGAGCCAGAGUGAUUUCCCACCAGUCUUUAAUCUGAGCAGAAACAGCAAUUGACCAACCUCCGAUGUGAAACUCACUUCUGGAUUUAGAGUCGCGUCCUUCAGAGAGACCCUGGACUUGCAGCUGCCAGAGGAUGCCACCUGGGCGCUGGCAGCAUUCCAGCUCUCCCGACACUGUGCACCGGACCCCGUGUUCCGCACACAGCUGCCAGGGC
ensembl:lncRNA